UCCCAGAGAGCUUUGGGGGCUGGGGGAGGGGCCAUGCAACAGCCUCACAGGUGCUUCCUGCUCAAACGGCUCUCUUGCCACUUUAUUUUCCCCAGAGACUCUGCUCCUAUCCUCCCCACCUCCCCCUAACUGAGCAGCAGUCCUGAGGCCCUGCCUCCCAGUCCCUCCUUGUUCCAGAUGUGGCAAAAUCUGGCAAAGGCAGAGACCAAACUUCAUACCUCAAACUCUGGGGGGCGGCGGGAGCUGAGCGAGUUGGUCUACACGGAUGUCCUGGACCGGAGCUGCUCCCGGAACUGGCAGGACUACGGAGUUCGAGAAGUGGACCAAGUGAAACGUCUCACAGGCCCAGGACUUAGCGAGGGGCCAGAGCCAAGCAUCAGCGUGAUGGUCACAGGGGGCCCCUGGCCUACCAGGUGAUGCCCGGGGCUUGGGGAUAGGAUGAAGCUCCUGGAGCCUUGGUUUGCCCCACUGUGGGCUGGGCAGCAUCUGAGGCUCCUGCUGGGCUCCCCUAGGCUCUCCAGGACAUGUUUGCACUACUUGGGGGAGUUUGGAGAAGACCAGAUCUAUGAAGCCCACCAACAAGGCCGAGGGGCUCUGGAGGCAUUGCUAUGUGGGGGACCCCAGGGGGCCUGCUCAGAGAAGGUGUCAGCCACAAGAGAAGAGCUCUAGUCCUGGACUCUACCCUCCUCUGAAAGAAGCUGGGGCUUGCUCUGACGGUCUCCACUCCCGUCUGCAGGCAGCCAGGAGGGCAGGAAGCCCUUGCUCUGUGCUGCCAUCCUGCCUCCCUCCUCCAGCCUCAGGGCACUCGGGCCUGGGUGGGAGUCAACGCCUUCCCCUCU
rnacentral:lncRNA from 1 species